GUUAAAUGGCCGCAGUAUUUUGACUGUGCGAAGGUAGCAUAAUAAUUAGUUUUUUAAUUGAAAGCUGGAAUGAAUGAUUGGACGAGAAAAAAUCUGUCUCAAUUUUAUUUAAUUAGAAUUUUAUUUUUAAGKAAAAAAGCUUAAAUAUUUUUAAAAGACGAGAAGACCCUAUAGAGUUUUAUACAUUUAUUUUUAUUUAUUUUUUGGUAUUAUAGGAUUUAUAUAAAAAAAUAGUAUUUAGUUGGGGUGAUUAAAAAAUUAAUUAAACUUUUUUUUUAUWAUWACAUUAAUAUAUGAUUAAUUGAUCCAUUUUUUAUGAUUAUAAGAUUAAAUUACCUUAGGGAUAACAGCGUUAUUUUUUUUUAGAGUUCUUAUCGAAAAAAAA
rnacentral:rRNA from 1 species